rnacentral:rRNA from 1 species
AUUGAACGCUGGCGGCAGGCCUAACACAUGCAAGUCGAGCGAGCGGCGGACGGGUGAGUAUUGUAUGGGGACUGCCCGAUAGAGGGGGAUAACUCCUGGAAACGGUAGCUAAUACCGCAUACUAUCGGAUAACCCAUAUGGGAUUGGCUAGUAGGUGGGGUAAUGGCUCACCUGGGCGACGAUCCCUAGCUGGUCUGAGAGGAUUUUCAGCCACACUGGGACUGAGACACGGCCCAGACUCCUACGGAGGCAGCAGUGGGGAAUAUUGCACAAUGGGCGCAAGCCUGAUGCAGCCAUGCCGCGUGUAUGAAGAAGGCCCUAGGGUUGUAAAGUACUUUCAGUCGGGAGGCGUUACCGGCAGAAGAAGCACCGGCUAACUCCGUGCCAGCAGCCGCGGUAAUAC